rnacentral:tRNA from 1 species
GUGGGCGUAGCUCAAUGGUAGAGCACCAGGUUGUGGCCCUGGCGGUUGCCGGUUCAAGUCCGGUCGCUCACCCA